AGCUCCAAUAGCGUAUAUUAAAGUUGUUGCAGUUAAAAAGCUCGUAGUUGAAUUUCGGGGUUAGUAGGUUGGUCAUGCCUCUGGUAUGUACUGAUCUCACUGAUUCCUCCCUCUUGACGAACUGUAAUGUCAUUAAUUUGGUGUUGCAGGAAAUCAGGACUGUUACUUUGAAAAAAUUAGAGUGUUUAAAGCAGGCUUAGGCUUGAAUACAUUAGCAUGGAAUAAUGAAAUAGGACGUUUGAUCCUAUUUUGUUGGUUUCUAGGAUCGACGUAAUGAUUAAUAGGGAUAGUUGGGGGCAUUAGUAUUCAAUUGUCAGAGGUGAAAUUCUUGGAUUUAUUGAAGACUAACUACUGCGAAAGCAUUUGCCAAGGAUGUUUUCAUUAAUCAAGAACGAAAGUUAGGGGAUCGAAGACGAUCAGAUACCGUCGUAGUCUUAACCA
rnacentral:rRNA from 1 species